AGCAGCCGCGGUAAUUCCAGCUCCAAUAGCGUAUAUUAAAGUUGCUGCAGUUAAAAGCUCGUAGUUGAAUUUCGGGACCAUCAUGUCGGUCGUGCCUCGGUACGUACUGGCAUUGUUGGUUUCUACCUUCUGACGAACCAUGAUGUCAUUUAUUUGGUGUCGUGGGGAAUCAGGACUGUUACUUUGAAAAAUUAGAGUGUUUAAAGCAGGCUCACGCUUGAAUACAUUAGCAUGGAAUAAUGAAAUAGGACGUUUGAUUCUAUUUUGUUGGUUUCUAGGAUCGACGUAAUGAUUAAUAGGGAUAGUUGGGGGCAUUAGUAUUCAAUUGUCAGAGGUGAAAUUCUUGGAUUUAUUGAAGACUAACUACUGCGAAAGCAUUUGCCAAGGAUGUUUUCAUUAAUCAAGAACGAAAGUUAGGGGAUCGAAGACGAUCAGAUACCGUCGUAGUCUUAACCAUAAACUAUGCCGACUAGGGAUCGGAUGAUGUUAAUUUUUUAAUGG
rnacentral:misc_RNA from 1 species